UCAGGAAGACCAUCAGGAAUGGUUUCGAACUGAAAGGAGGGAAGGGCAUUGAGAGAGUCGGGACCUCUGGAUUUUAACAGACGCUUAUGGUUGUACUCUGUGUUUACAAAGGUGAUAUGAAAGCCUUUGUAGUGAAGGAUUUUUGCUAGCUUUAGCAUGGGGUUUAUGUGGCCUUGAGCUGGGUAGGGGACACAAACUGCAUGGGGUUUCUCUGCAAAAGCUAGGGAACCCAUUUUCUUUCUCUCUUUCUAAGACCUAAUCCAGUAA